CCCAUAUUCCACACCUUGUCUUAUGGUUUUGCACCCUCUACUACUUCACCAGCGUACCUGCAGCACCUGUACACGCAUGGACCAUAUGUGCAACCUCUGCCGUAGCCACCACUAUAGCCACCAAGACCGAAGUCAUCACGACCAUAGCCACCACGAUGCUAACCACCACCACCGCUGUAGAUUUUGUCGUUCCGUCCUCCAUACUUAGCAUCCUCUACGCCAUUGGUUUCCACUGUGGCCUCUGCAAUGAAGGCGAGAAGAAGGCCGAGGAAAACAAAGGCUUUUGAACUCAUGUUUGUGUUUAAUAAGAGAUUGCUUUUGGGAGAUAUGGAUGAGAAAGAUUUGAAUUCUUAUGGUAUUUAUUGGUACAUAAAAGAGAAAGGGAGAUGAGAAUAUUGAGACAAUUGCAAUUAAAGACUGGCCCGUAAUUUAGUUGGGCAUUAGAUGAACUGAUUGAGAAGUAUUCUGAAAUGAAGAAGGAAAUUAAAAUUUGAGUCAGCUCUCUUAAAUAAUCUUUAUCGUUUAAAUGAUUUGUAAUUAGUCAAACUCUUUAGUAGUGUGACUGUAUCAAACUCCAAGAGCUUCUUUUAGCCAAUUAUCAAUAAUAAUAAUAAAUAUAAUUCUGGAAAAACAAUUUCUAGCAUGCUUUCAUUUUCUAUUCCUAAACUUGGUAAACAAAAUUCUUUGUCUUAAAAAUUAAAACUAAUAUUUUCAUAAAUUAUUUAGCAAAGUUGUUGGAAUAUGGACUGGUUUAUGAUUGUACCAAACAGCAAAAACAAGUUACAAACUACGAACCCAACUAUAUCGUUUAGAAACUGAGAGACCCACGUGGCGGAUGUUGCCUCACCCAAAAGCCACCGGAAAUUGCCUUCACUGGAGACCCACAUGUCGAACAACCAACUGCAAACCCCAAGAACAACCACGGCUGAAACAACCUCUCUGAUGGCUCGAACCCACUGCUAAACCAGCCGCCACACCGCGCGAAAUCCGCCGGUAGAACAUGGAAACUCGCCGACGUUAAAGCUCAGUCAGACGCCGUACUGCCCGAAAAACGAGACCGAAACGCGGAUGCUAAAGCUCUCUCCUCACCGGAAAACGCCCGACCCGACGAAGAACCUCAGAAUCUCCGUCGCGUGGCCGUCCGGUAAACGCCAUCAACGUCAACCCGUUCACCGUCGGCCCCUGCUCUUCUCUCUACUGUGUUUGUAGAAGAAACUUCAACUUUCCUCUCUCUCUAUUCUUGUGUAUUGCGGCAACCCCUCACCUCUCUCCUUUUCUUUUCACUGUAUUAAAAAUGGCAAGUGAUGUGAAUAAUUGCAAAAAUGUGUUCUUGUUAUUCCGCCAUCAACAAAACUAAAAAAACUUUGUUUAUUAAGAAAAUAAAUAAUCCACGUUGUUUAUUUCUUACAUUCUUUCAUAUUUCUUUAAUAAAAUAAGAGAACUUUUCUUUAUGUAUCACGGUGAAGAUAGAUAUUGUAUUAAGAAAAAUAUAUUUCUUAAUGAUCAUUUAUCAUGACCAUCAAGAAAUUAAAAAAUUGUGUUCCAAACCCUACAUCUCUCUUAAUGCAUCCUCUUUCACAAAUACUUCCGUUCCAAAAUAAUUACAGUCUGAGAAAAGUUUAGAGAGUAAAAACAAUUUCUCUCUCAAACAUUAAACCAAUAUAUAUAAAUGAUCCAUACAUAUAUAUAUGUGGAAAGUUCAAUAUGAAAUAUGUUAACAGUAUUGGUAAAAAUACUAUAUAUGGAUGGUCGUAAAAGAAAUACGUACUUUUUAAAAGUUGAACUUCCUCUUCAUCUCUGAUUGGAGAUAUUUGUUGAAAACUCCAAUAACACCUCAAAAUAAUAAUAGUAAUAAUUAUUACUAUUAUUAUUAUUACUAUUAUUGCGUAGGAUAGAACACCAUGAAAUGUUGAUAAAUUUAUUUAAUUGUGUCCUUGUCACUUGUCAGUACCACCAUAAACUUUAGAUAAUGCAGGCUGAGCAAACAUUUUUUUACUUUCUUUUCUCAUUUGUAUGCAAAAUAUAUUGCCACCAUAUAUCGUUUUGACUAAAGACGAAAGAAAGCGUGUAUACCUUAACUAUUAAAAUUUAUGUUCAAGUUAUGGAAAUAAAACCCUUAAUUACACAAAAUGAAAAUAUGUUUGUUGAUAUUAUAAAAUUUUACAAAAACCAAAUCUUUGCAAUAACAUACUAAAACCCAAACAUGGGGAAAAAGAAAAACUACAGAACCCACUCCUUCCAUUCCCCAUCUAUUUAUUUCUCAAACUUCUACCGUUCACACAUUUAACCAAACACACAAACUUUAAACCUUUUUAUUAUUUCAUCCCAUUCUACACCUUCUCUUAGGGUUUUGCACCCUCUACCACUUCACCAGCGUAGCUGCAGCACUUGUGCCCACAUCGACCAUAUCGGCAACCUCUGCCGUAGCCACCACGGCCACCACCAUAGCCUCCACGGCCACCGUAAUGACCACGACCAUACCCACCACGACCACCGCCAUAGCCUCUGUCGUACCCACCGCCAUAGCCUCUGUCGUACCCUCCACCAUAGCCUCUGUCGUACCCUCCACCAUAGCCUCUGUCGUACCCACCUCUUCCAUACUUGGCAUCCUCUACGCCAUUGGUUUCCACUGUGACCUCUGCAAUGUUAUAUUUAAAAUUAAUCCUUAACUUUACGAAAAUGUUAUAUAAAAUCAAAAUCUGUAUAUAAAGAUGUUAAAUAAUGAGUAUAUAUAUUUUACAUGAGUUUUUUCUUAAUAUUCGUGUCUGUUCGGAGUUAGUUUAUGUGUACCUAAACUAAGUUUACCGAACAAAUUUGGAUGUGAAAGGAACAAGCACAAAGAAUAUUAAAUCAUCAAUAGAAGACUACUAUGCAUUCAACUUCUUAGAUGACUUAAAAUUUAUUAUAACAUAAAACUCACCGUUGUCAGUCUUGGAGGAGGUCUCCGCAAGGUCCCUUGCAGCCACUUCAGAGGAGAGGAGAAGAACGAAGGCGAGAAGAAGGCCAAGGAAAACAAAGGCUUUGGAACUCAUAUUUGUGUGUAUUGUAAGAGAUUGGUUUUGGGGGAGAGGGAUGAGAAAGAUUUGCAUUCUUAUGGAGGUAUUUAUAGGUCCAUAAAAGGGAAAGUGAGAUGAGAAUUGAGACAAUGGCAAUGGCAAUUAAAGACUGGCCCAUAAUUUGGUUGGGUGUUAGAUGAACUGAUUGAGAAGUAUUUUGAAAUGAAGAAGAAAAUUUGAGUCAGCUCUCUUCAAAAAUCUUUAUCUUUUAAAUGAUUUGUAAUCAGUCAAACUCUUUAGUAGUGUGACUGUAUCAAACUCCAAGAGCUUCUUCUAUCCAAUUAUCAAUAAUAAUAAUAUAAUUAUGGAAAAACAAUUUGUAGCAUGCUUUCAUUUUCUAUUUCCUAAACUUGGUAAACAAAGUUAUUUGUCUUAAAAAUUAAAACUAAUAUUUUUCAUAAAUUACUUACCAAAAUCUAUCAAGUAAAUACUGUAGGUUAGUUAUUUAGGGUUCAUUUUUUUCACCUUGUGUUUUUUCUUAAAAAAAUUGAUGUUUAAUUAGAUUUUUUUUUCUAUUAAUGAUUGAUUUGUUUUGGUAUAUCAUUUUCGAUCCAAUAUAACAAAAUGAACAAAAUAUGUGACAUUUUUUAAAAUAAAAAAUAAAUUAAAAUAUUUACAAAGUAUAACAAAAUUUUAAAUUCUAUCAAUGAUAGAAACUGAUAUGCUACUAUCACUGUCUAUCCAUCUCACUAAUAGAAACAUGUUAAUGUCUAUCAAUGUCUAUUAUUGAUAAAAUAUGAAAAUCGUACUAUUUGUUGUAAAUAUUUUGUCAAAUUUACUAUUUUUUACCAUUCUCUCUUAAAAAAAUAUUUAUAAAUACAGUAAAUUUCAAAAUCUAUCAAAGAAAUUGGUAGAAAUAUUUAUAUAGUAUAUGUGAUAUAAAUAAACACUAAUAUGAUUGAAGUUUUUUGUGUCUACUAAUAUCUAUAUUUUUUAUAUUUCUAAAUUUGGCUAUAUUUAUAAAUAUUUUCAAGAAUUUUAGUUUAUACAUUUUCAAAUGGUUUAUCUUAUAUAAAAUUUGAAUAGACAAACAUAAAAUAAAGCACAGCACAAUAAAGAAAACGUUAUUGAAUAGCUUCCACUGAACCCAAUUUGCAAAUAUCAUUGAUAUUUGUAAUAUUCUUUUAAUGCUAUGUUUUCUUACAAGAUAACGAGAGGAUAUUUUUAUAUUUAUGUGAAACUCAUCAACUUAUAUGAAAAUGUCAAAACAACAUUUAUUUAUUUCAUACUCUUCAACUUGGUGUCUGUCAUUCUUUAAAUAGAAUUUUCAAAGCUCAUAAAAAUCUCUCGAAAUUUGAGAAGAUAUCAACGCCCUUACGGAUCAUUGGACAAGCAUAUCUCCUCUCUUCAAAAAUUAUUUUGAUAGCUCUAUUGCUCUAAGUAUUUAUGCUUUUGUUUAAUUGUACUGACUUUGGGUCUUUCUUGGACUUUCCUCUAACCCUUGCUUUUGUUUUCCCUUCUUUCCAUAUUAUCUAUUAUAUAUUAAUGAAGCAUGAAUGAUGAUGAUGCUACGAAGGUACUGUUCACAUAGUGGAGAUGAUGAGAUGUCUUAGUGCAUCUAUUGACCUAUCUCGUAUCUUUUUUAAAAAAAAAAAAACAUUUAUAUAUUUCGUAUACUAUAAUUUUGCAAUAAAUUUAAGAGACCUUUAUAAAACUAACUCCCAAACUAUGCGGGGUAGUGAUAGUUGUGAAACCUAUUUCUAAUUUGAGUAUAGAAAGUAAAAUUUGGUUAAGUAUUUUGAAAAUUUGUAUUUUGGAUAAGAGGAGACAUUUUGAAAUAAGACUUUGCGAUAAGAAGUAUGUGUUUGAAUCAAUCCACAGAAAUGAUUAAGUGAUAAAAUCUUUUAUGGUUAAGUAUAAGUUUUGUUAUUAAGAAGUUAAUUCACGAGGGAGUUUUGAGAAAAGAAUGAUUUGCAAUAGGACCUAUAAACACUUUCAAUAGAAAGAGUCUUCACGAGAAAAUGUUGAAGUUAUUCGUAGAAUGGAAAUAGGCGAGAAGUAAGGUCUGGCAAAGAAAACGUCUAUCUGAUUUGACAGGGGUUAAUGUGUAAGAUUAAAGGUUUAAGCAUGACUGAGUUAAAUAUUAAAUUUACAUGUGUAAAGUUUUAAUCAGGAACCAGCGAACUUAAAAGAGUUUAAGCAUGACUAAGUUAGUUUAAGAGCUAUGUAAAUAAAGGACCUAGUCAUUAAGUAAGCACAUAGAUUUUAUUAAAAAAAAAUUACUAAAAUGUUGUUGUUUUGCUUGACGAGAAAAAGAAAAAAAAAAACAAAGUGUUAAGUGCUACGAUGUGUUUCACAAGAAGGCUCCACAAAAGAAAAGGAAGAGAAGGAUUUUUGAUAAAGUGUGGGAAUGUUUUCUCUUAAAUGAAUUAAUUAUGUUAAAAAAUUUAUUAUAAUUUCUCUUUACUUAUUUAAAAGAAGAAUUCCAAUGAUAAGUGUUUCAAAUGAAAUUUAUAUCAAAAGUCUAUAUGUUUUCAAGUAUGAUUUAUAAUGUUAAAGUUGUUUUCUUGAGAUGAUGCUAACUUUUAUGUGCACAUAAAGAGUCAAGGUUACUAUGGGGUGUACAAGGCUACAUGGUGAUAAGAAGCUGGUUUAUGCUUUGAAAUGAGCGUAUAAAGCUUAGUUGGCCUGAGCAACAAGGACAAUCUGUAUGUUUUCGGAUGUUGUUGAUACAACAGUCUAAAUGUAGGGUAAUGAGACCAAACGUAGAAAACGAUUCGAGAUCCUUGAUGAAAAGUAUAAUUGACUAAUGGGUGUUAUUGUGAAAUGAAUCUUGAUGUGAUUCACAAGUUGAACUAAUUUUAUUGUAAAAAUGAUUAUAUACGUUUUGAUAUGUUUUGCCAAAUGAAGUGUUUAUUGAUAAACUGAUUUGUGUUGAAAUUUAUGAUUUGACGAAAAACAUUUUCAAAGAGCAUUGCAAAAAGGAUUUCAUUAAAACCUCACUAAAUCUUUUAAACUUGCAUUUUAAAUUUUAUCUUCCAAGAUUUAGCAUUUAGGCCAAUUAAAGAAGAAGGUUGAAGGGCUUGCGGCAAGUUGAGAAAGCCACGAGGCGUUAAAGAGCUUUGAUCGAUAAAUGUUAAUUAUUUGAUCAAAAUGUUGUAAUUGUUUGUUCAUACCAAACGCCUGUUAUUAAUAUAUUAAAGUGUGUGUUUCAGGUUAUGUUACUUAUUGUACUUGGCAUUUAAAGUUGAUUUUCGCUACGUUUUGAGUUUCACUUCAUAGUUUGAAAGGAGUUGAGAAUAAGCUAGGCAGUAAGACUAAUUGUAAAGUUUAAUUAAAGUUAAAUCUUGUAAAGUUUAAAGUUAAAUCAUGUAAAGUUUAAAGUUAAAUCACGUCCUAUCCGCACAACUUCCUGCAAUUUUGUUGUCGGAACAGAGUGUGACAAUAGCGAUGCACCUAAACUAAAUUUACUAUUUUGGUUGUUACAGUGGUCGAUAUGAAUAUAGAUCAAUGGAAAGAAGAAUAUCAACAUCCUCUCUAAAACUUAAAUAUAUUAAUCUAAAAUUUUCAUUUUUAUGUUAAAUUGAGAAGAAGAAGAAAAAAAAAAGAAACGAAAGCAAAAGUAUUAGGUAAUAAAAAUAUUUUGAAGAUGAAAAAAAUUUGAAGUACUCUUGAAAGCAUGAAUAAAUAAAAUUUGGUUCCACUUGUAUUGUUGAAUAUCCUCUUGUUCCUUUCCAACCAAAUGUUCCAGAUAACCCCAUCAACAGACUGUAAUUGUUGAUUUCAUAACACACAAACUUGAAAUCAACAAUUAAGUAAUAGAAGACCGUAAAGAUCGACACACAGAUAAAACAUGGUUCACUAACAGUGUAUUAGCAACUACAUCCACAAACAAAGGAAGAAAAAAUAUGGUUAGGAGAGAGUGUUUUCUAAUACAAAUGUAGCUGGAUAGAGUGCAUCCAAUGAAAUUCUCAUUGUUUUGGUUGCAGACCGAGCACGCCAACUUGGAUUAAGGCAGUGAUUUGGGAGGCUAUUUAGCAGAAUAAUCUCCACAGUGUUUCCCGGGUAGAAUUUAGCAUAAGAAAAAAUUUCACUUCUUAAUUAGAAUGGGAGAUUUUUACAAAUUAUUAAAGAUUGUCAGGACUAAGAUUUUCUAUCUUUGGAAGAUCAUUUCCUCUUUCCUCGUUAGGCUUAGGGAAAGAUGCUUUGACAUUAUCCCAUAUGCUAAUGUCCCUAUCCCGGAGGGGUCCUCUAGGCUUAAUAUCCCAACCAAUCUUUAAUCGAGCUAUUUGCGCCAAGGGAUGAAGCAAAAAGCUUGGGGAAGCCAAAGGAGAGAGGACCGUGUUGGUUCAAUUUUUUAUGCCAAAAAAGAAAGAGAAAGAAGAGAGCAAGAUGAUUAUACUAAAAAAGAAUUGCCACAGUUUCUAUUUUAAUUAUUAUCCCUGCAUAACUCUUUCACAUAUAUAUUUAUAUCCAUAGGUUGUACACAAGUGAAACUAUCCUCAAAUUUAUAUGCUAUUUAUAUAAUAUAUAUAUAUAAAACUAUAAUAGUAUACUAUAGUCAUGUAGUUCAAACUUCGUUUAUUACCUUUUUAUUUUAAAAAUAUUUUAUUAAUAGUAAAGUUCCUGUGAACAUAAAUUUCUCCAUCAUCUGCUCCUACUUGUAUAUAUCAUCUUUAAUUAAUUAUCAUUUAGUGUCCACAUGUACAGUUUAAUUCCCAAAUAGUGUUCAACAAAACGAAGUAUUAGAAAUUUUCACUUUAUUUUUCUCAUUCAUAACUCCUAAUAAGUAGAUAGGUCCACAUGUUUCAUGUUACAUCUAUUUAUUUUAAUGCGUAUUAAUUUUUGGUGGUGAAAUUCAAACUUUUAAUUAAAUUAAUUAUCUCAGUCAUGUUUAUUUACUAUAAAUAUCACUAUAAAGAUCAAUUGAGCUAAGCAUGCUUAAUAAAGUUUAAAAAAUUACUCUUCUAUACACGUGUGGCAAUAAAGAUAACAAAAUAUCACUAAAUGUAAAUAAAUGUUUGGCAAGUUUUAUUAUUUUUAUAACUUCUUUAGAAAUAUUCAAUCGAUAUGGAUAUGAUAUUGAUUUUUGUUUUAUAAAUUCGUGAAAUUGAGAAAUAUAAGCAUUUUCAUCAACAUUCGCAUCCUAGACAUUACUCCUAUAUGACUAAUGAAUUUGAACUAGCGAAACUAAUUCAUAAAACUAAAUGAACAAAUUUUAAAAAAUUUUAUUUAAAAUAACAAAUAUGAUAGAACGUAUAAUAUUUACAAAUGUAACGACAAAAUUUUACUUUCAGAUCGUGAAGGUUGUGGUAAACCUGAUAGACAUCAUAUAUUAUUUUAGGCGUUAUAUUGUAUUGAUAAUAAAAGUAAAAUUUUAUUCUAUUUAUAAAUAUUUAUAAUAAUUUUUUAUAUUCAAAACAAUUCAAAAAAUUAAGUUGGCCUAAAAUUUCUAUUUUCAAUAUUUAUGGCCAUAACAGUUAUUUAAGUGAUCGGACUCCAUGAGUUCGUAAAAUUUAAAUGAGUUAGGCAAACAAGUAUUAAUUUGUAAUUUAUUUCUUUUUCUUAAUUGCAUUUUCUUGUUUUUGACAUGUUUAUUUAUUUUUAAUCUAAGUUGAAUGAUAUGGUAUUAAAUUUGUCUUUCAUCCGUUAAUUUUUCUUCUUUUCUUAACAUACCUUCCAGUUAUUGUCGCUCCAAUCAUCCUCAUCUUUGUCUCCGUCCCUAGGCCCAGGCAUCUCCCUCAAUGCAUCCUCUAUCACAAAUAGGUUCCAAAAUAAUUACAGUCUAAGAAAAGUUCAUAGAGUAACAACAAUUUCUCUCUCAAACAUUAAACCAAUAUAUAUAUAUAUAUAUAUAUACUAGAAAGAACACGUGUUUUGUACGUGAAAAGUGUAAUUUUAAAUCUUAAAUUUAAUUUUAGUGUCACAAGUUAAAAACUAAUUAUAAACAAUAUCUUUAGUUUAUAUAUAUAUAUAUGCUAUUAUUAAAUUCAAAUCUACCAAUAAUAAGGUGACCAGAUUGGACAAUUAGAUCUUAACCAGAGAAUAUAAAGGACCUAUAUAACAAUAUAAGUUUAUGAAAUAUACAACUAUAUAACUACAAAAUAUUAUAUAAACAAGGAGAGAAAAUUAGUGAGCAACCAUAAUAUAACAUGUACUUUUUUUUCAUUGAAAAUAAAUUAAAAAAUAAGAAAAUAAAAAGAGAUCAAAUGAUGGAUAAAGAAGUCUCUCCAAUCCAAAAUAUAAUGCUAAAAGACGACCAAAAUUUAAUUAAUAGAUUAUAGAUACAUAAAUGAAAUAAAAUUAUAGUGCAUAGUAAGUAUUGUAGAAAUAUUGCUUAUUCGAGACAUAGUUGACAUCGUUGGAGGCCUCCUUGGAUUCUCUAUACAUUUGUUGAAAAACACAGAAAUUCUCCUUGUUUUACACCAAAUAAUUAUUCUCCUAUACGUGGAUUUAUUUGAUUGCUCACAAUUUCAUUAGAUUUUAUUUUAUAUAAAAAUACACAGAAAGAAAAUGAUUGGGAACGUGAACAUGAGUCACAAAGAAGAUGAGAGAGAAUGUGUGAGUGAUAGAAGGGAAGAAGAAAAUUUUAUAUAGCUUUAAAAUUGAGCUAAUGAAUAAUAAUAAUAAUAAUAAUAAUAAUAACAACAACGACAAUUAUUAUUACUAUUAUUGCAUAGAAUAGGAGAGACCAUGAAAUAUAGAUAAAUUUAUUUAGUUGUGGUUGCCAUUUUGAGUACCACCGUAAACUUUGGAUAUUGCAGGCAAGGUGGUUAAUAGAAUUAAGAUUUUAUUAUAUGUAGGUAAAUAUUUUCACCGAUUUUAAUAUUUAGAUGUUUUCUUUUAUUAUUAUUAUUAUUUAGUAUGAGUGAUCAUGUGAGUUUUUUUCUUUCUUUCUUUUUUCUAACGAAAUAUAUUGAAGAUUUUAACUAAAGAUGAAAGAAUGUGUGUAUACUAAAAAUAAGUGAGACGAUCAAUAAUAUCUGAAAGUAAUUAACUGAGAGAAUAGCUAAAGAAACAGACAAAACAAAUAAUACAGAAGACUUUGUUAGCCUAAUUUGACGAAUACCACCUAUAUCUGGAAGCUUCUUAGCUCAUAUAAGAAAUAUUAUUAUAUAAGAUUUAAAUGAGCAAGGAAAACACUUUUAAGUUAUUACAAAAACUUAAUUAAAGACCGACUUUCAUUGAAUUUGUGUUUGAAUCUUUUUGAAGAUAAACUCAAACUCCCUUGAAUUCAUUCACCACAGUUCAACUAUUUCAGUCUUCUUUCAUAUUUCUUAUCAACAGGUGCAGCGUAAAAACCACUUGCAGAACUUCAAUAAUAUUCCAUCUUCAUAUAAAGAAUGCAAUUCGACAACCUUCACAAACAAUAAUUUGAUCUUCGAAAGAGAACUUCUUUGAAAUCAAUUUUCUAUCAAUUUGCACGUCGAACUAAGCCAAUAUAGUUUAAUUAUUUAAAGAUCGAUAUAAUAUAUUUCCGGUAACUUCUUUAUGGAGAGAUAUAGAUAAAAGAUUCAUGUUAGGAAAGAAAAAUAUUUUAUCUUUAAAUAAUAUCCUAAUCUUUAAAUAAGGAAGUUAAUAAUAAAAAGAAAUUUAUUGGUGUUGUUGACAAAAAUAUCAACAUAUACGUUAACUAUUAAAAUUUAUGUUCAAGUUAUGGAAAUAAAAGCGUUAAUUACAGGAAAUGAAAAUAUGUUUGGUGAUAUUAUAAAAUUAAAAUUUGCAAAAGCAAAUGUUUGAAAUAACAUACUAAAACAAACCCAAACAUGGGGAAAAGAAAAACUACAGAACCCACUCCUUCCAUUCCCCAUCUAUUUAUUUCUCAAACUUCUACCGUUCACACAUUUAACCAAACACACAAACUUUAAACCUUUUUAUUAUUUCAUCCCAUUCUACACCUUCUCUUAGGGUUUUGCACCCUCUACCACUUCACCAGCGUAGCUGCAGCACUUGUGCCCACAUCGACCAUAUCGGCAACCUCUGCCGUAGCCACCACGGCCACCACCAUAGCCUCCACGGCCACCGUAAUGACCACGACCAUACCCACCACGACCACCGCCAUAGCCUCUGUCGUGCCCUCCGCCAUAGCCUCUGUCAUACCCUCCUCUUCCAUACUUGGCAUCCUCUACGCCAUUGGUUUCCACC
rnacentral:lncRNA from 1 species